rnacentral:rRNA from 1 species
CCUUUGUACACACCGCCCGUCGCUACUACCGAUUGAAUGGCUUAGUGAAGCGUCCGGACUGGCUCAGGGAGGUCGGCAACGACCACCCCGAGCCGGAAAGUUCGUUAAACUUGGUCAUUUAGAGG